UUUUUUUUUUUUUUUUUUCCUCAACUACAAUGGUUCAUUUUGUUCCCACUAAGUUUUAUAUCAGAGGCCCCCCCAAACAAAGAAAGGGACCAUUUAUUCAGGAGUGUCCAGGACUAUCCAGAAUUUUCUGUGUGUCCAAAGAAAAAUCAGAGGAACCUGAGAGAUGGAAGGAAUGUAGAAUGCUGGGAUAUGGAUACUGUUGUUGACUGGACAUGUCUCCAUAUUGAAAACUUGGAAAAAUAGACCAAGGGUAGCUUUUGGGAGUAGGAGAGCUCUUUCUAAUGUGAGACAGAUUUGGGGGCAGGUGAAGGUUCUGGUUAGAGAGGAGGGGGUCUGAUGCAGAUCUGAGGCCAUAGUGAAGAGGAGUACAACUGUCUCUAGAUCAUGCUCCUGUGGAGUACUACUGUCUCUAGAUCAUGCUCUUGUGGAGUACAACUGUCUCUAGAUCAUGCUCUUGUGGAGUACAACUGUCUCUAGAUCAUGCUCCUGUGGAGUACAACUGUCUCUAGAUCAUGCUCCUGUGGAGUACAACUGUCUCUAGAUCAUGCUCCUGUGGUUAAGCAUUGGCCCCAGAUGCUUCAUUUAGAUCCAGCUUCUUGACUCUGGUACUUCUCCUUGUAGAUGAGCCAUAAUGUACCAUGCUUUAGUUAAUACUUCUAACUCCCUCUUAACAGUUUCAUAGACACAUGUAGUUUGGUUUUACCUUCCAUGCUCUGACAGAAUACCUGGUAAUCAGCUUAAUGGAACAAAGGUUUAUUCUUGAUCACUGUUUGAGGGUAUAGUCCAUCAGGUCAAGAAGACAUGGCAGGAGUGUGAGGUGUCUGCACACACAGGAAGCAGGGAGAGAUGAAUGAUGGUGUUCAGCUUUCUCCAUUUGAUUCACUCUGGAACUCCAGUCCAUGAUAUGGUACCACCCGUAUACAGGGUGCGCCUACCCACUCCUCCACAGGUCCAGAGGUUGGUUUCCAUAAUGAUUCUAAAUCCUAUGAACUUGACAAAAAAGAUGAACUUUCAUACUUGUCUAGGGUCCCCCCAAAGGACAGGACCUCAUUUUAACCUCUCUAAUAAUGCUGUCUCCAAGUACAGUGGCUUUCUCUUCCAUAAUGUAAUGGGGAUUAGGAUGUCACGUAUGAAUAGGGUUGGGGGGUAUACACUGUCAUAUCCAUGUCUACCAGAAGGCUGGUCUCUGGAGAGCUCCAGCUCAUGAACUGGUGGUAUUCUGGUAGUUAGAAUUAAGGCUUCGAAUAUUAAAAUGUGAAGGGGUAGAAAUGAAUGGUGGUUUGCAUAAGGAAGGAGGGGCACUUGGAAGUGCUCUUUUUAAAGGGAAUGGUGGUCACUGACCUGCUAACUACUGCUUUAUGGCACUGUAGCCCAUGUUUUAUAGUUUUGUACAUUUUCAAAUUGUGUGUGUGUUGGGGUGGGGAGGAGGGUUGGUGGAUGUGUGUACCAAAGCCUUUGAAGGCCAGAAGAUGAACUUCAGAUGCCCUGAAGUUGGAGUUAACAGAUGGUUAUGAAUCUCCUGACACGAGUACUGGGAAACAAAGUAGGAUCCUGUGCAAGAGCAGUUCAUUGGUUUAACUUCAGAGCUAUCUCUUCAGCCUCCUUCCCAUUUUAAAAAAGAGAUAGCAAGCUUUUAUAUGAUGUCCCAAAGUCAUAUAUUGGCAACCAGCUCAUAUGC
rnacentral:lncRNA from 1 species